rnacentral:rRNA from 1 species
UACGUAGGUGGCGAGCGUUGUCCGGAAUUACUGGGUGUAAAGCGCGUGUAGGCGGGCGGCCAAGUCUGUGGUGAAAUCGCUCGGCUUAACUGGGCGGGGUCCAUGGAAACUGGUCACCUGGAGGUCGGUAGAGGCAAGUGGAAUUCCCGGUGUAGUGGUGAAAUGCGUAGAGAUCGGGAGGAACACCAGUGGCGAAGGCGGCUUGCUGGGCCGGACCUGACGCUGAGACGCGAAGGCGUGGGGAGCGAACGGG